AUAUUGUCAGCACUGUACAUAAGCGCCAUUUACAUGCGCCGCUAAACAGUGUCAACUGACGCAUGUCACCAGUCAACUGUUCAAUUUUCAAUAUAAAUUAGGAGCAAUUAAGGUCAGACUUCUCUUGUGGUGCAUCUCUUAAUCGAUGUUUUGUGGAGAUAUAAGAAGAGAACAAUGUGUGACAUGGGCACCGCCAGCCUCGGCGAACCCUGAGACACUUUGGAACGAGAUGUGCUUGACGGCAUCUCACGUACAUAACUUCUGGUCGGAGACCUGCGAAUGAUUAUCGUAACACUGAUGUAAAGAUCCUAAUCAUCUAACGGUAAUUAUUCGAAACGGGAACACUGGAAUAAAUAAAUCGAGCUUAUACCACGCCUGUAUUGUGUUACAGAAUUGGAUUCUGUCGAAUUUUGCUGAUUAGAAGUGUAGCCUAUGGAAGGACACCAGAAGAAAGGAAAUAGAGAGUACAGUGUAGUAAAGUGAUGUGAUAAAUUGCGGGCACAUUUAACAUGGCAAACACAAUGAAACCAGCCACAGGCUAUUCCACAUCACUGGCAAGAUCAACAAACUUCGCAAUCAUGUGCAGGAUCUGGAACUUGCUCUUCCAUUGAAUUUGAACAUGAACCCUAUGCACACUGCCUUGAAGAUGGUACUAAUGCUGCAACACUCAUCACCACAGUGCAGAGAACAUUUCUGCAGAGGCAGAAGGUGAAGAUAAAUCAAACUUAAAAACUCUGUCAGCUCAAGCAAAUUCUUCCAUGUUGUGACAAUAUCUAAUAGCAAACUCUAUUACAGAACUGUGAACACAGGCUUUGUGGCUAGUGAAUUUGGUGCAGUGAAUUUUUCCACAAGGACUGAGGGUGUGAUUGUAUCAGACUAAGGAACUUUAACAGUUUAAGUCUGAUAUUUGAAUCCUUACCACUUAACUUCAUGAUAAUCUGUUGAUGGAAGGUACUGAAACUCUAUAAAAUGGCAACUCCUCAAGAGAAGGCACAAUGUGUGACCUGGUUUAUUGAGACAAAAUCAGAUUGGAUGUUCAGACUCGACGAAACUUCAGAACGAAGUAUGGAAGAGAUCCACCAUCGCACUCUUCAAUUCGUGCGUGGCACAAAAAAUUUAUGGAGACAGAGACAGUGUUGGACAAAGGGAGAAGAGGGCGAUCAAGAAUAUCCAAGGAAAACAGCAAUCAUGUUUUAAAUGUCUUCACUCAUUCACCUACAAAGUCCAUCCGCACUGCUGCCAGACUGUUGCACCUACCACGUUCAACUGUGCAUAAGGUCCUCCACAAUAACUUACGGUUGUAUGCUUACAAAGUGCAACUGCUACAGACAAUCGAGUCAAAUGACAAGCCCAAAAUGGACAGAGUUUGCAUUCAACAUGCUUGAACGCCUUUCAGUGAUAAGGCAACUUUUCAUGAUUCUGGAACAUUAAACAUACACAAUGUGAGAAUCUGGGGAUCUGAAUACCCCUAUGUGACUAGGGGCUUCACUGAGAUAGUGCAAAAGUGAAUGUGUGGUGUGGAAUCAUGUGCAACUGAAUAAUUGGUCCAUUUUUCUUCAAAGAGUCAACAAUUACUGCAGAUGGUUACCUCAACCUUCUGACCGAAUAUGUAACACCACAAGUGAUUGACUGACAACCAUCUAUCAUUUUCCAGCAAGAUGGUGCACUACCACAUUGGGAACUGCAUGUUCAUCGGUUCCUCAAUGAAACGUUUCCAGGCAGAUGGAUUGGAAGGGAUGGGCCAAUUCCUUGGCCACCGUUUUUGCCAGAUAUCACUCCCUUGGACUUUUAUUAUGGGGGUAUGUAAAAGAUAUCAUUUAUCACACACAGAUAUGGGACAUUGCUGACUUGAAGCAAAGGAUUCGUAAUGCCAUUGCCACCAUUGAUGACGCUAUGCUACAGUGAACAUGGCAAGAAAUCGAGUACCAUCUUGAUGUGCUUCAUGCAACUAAAGACGCCCAUAUAGAGGUCUACUAAACACUGUCAAAAAAACUUUUAUAAACACUGAUUACAAUAAAGGACAUAUUGUUAAAA